rnacentral:rRNA from 1 species
AUACAUGCAAGUCGAGCGAAAGAAGGGAGCUUGCUCCCGGAUGUUAGCGGCGGACGGGUGAGUAACACGUGGGUAACCUGCCUGUAAGACUGGGAUAACUCCGGGAAACCGGAGCUAAUACCGGAUAGUUCCUUGAACCGCAUGGUUCAAGGAUGAAAGACGGUUUCGGCUGUCACUUACAGAUGGACCCGCGGCGCAUUAGCUAGUUGGUGGGGUAAUGGCUCACCAAGGCGACGAUGCGUAGCCGACCUGAGAGGGUGAUCGGCCACACUGGGACUGAGACACGGCCCAGACUCCUACGGGAGGCAGCAGUAGGGAAUCUUCCGCAAUGGACGAAAGUCUGACGGAGCAACGCCGCGUGAGUGAUGAAGGUUUUCGGAUCGUAAAGCUCUGUUGUUAGGGAAGAACAAGUGCGAGAGUAACUGCUCGCACCUUGACGGUACCUAACCAGAAAGCCACGGCUAACUACGUGCCAGCAGCCGCGGUAAUACGUAGGUGGCAAGCGUUGUCCGGAAUUAUUGGGCGUAAAGGGCUCGCAGGCGGUUUCUUAAGUCUGAUGUGAAAGCCCCCGGCUCAACCGGGGAGGGUCAUUGGAAACUGGGAAACUUGAGUGC